CGCAACAACUUCCACCUGACUUACCUCUUCAGUUGUCUGGUUAGGAUUAUAUUUCCUAAGCGGAAUGCGGGUUUCUUGUGUUGACUACCUAAGCUAUGGUAUUGUCCCGAUUGAUCAUUGUCAUAUUUCGUCUUCUGUCAUACCUAUGAUGUUUGACGAACAAUGAAAGCGUCUCUUUGAACCACACCCAAUUUGUGUUGAUGUUGUGGCACAUUGAGCGUUGCUUGGUCUGUUGGAUACGGAAAAUGAUUAGGGCAUGGGGUCUUUCGGCAUCCUUGUUUUGCCCUUGCUAAGCGUUCACGCUUCUCUUAAGACGACAACCUGACACGCAUUGGCUCGUACCAGCGUGUUGGGUUAAGUCAAAGAGGAAUGC
rnacentral:misc_RNA from 1 species